UACGUAGGGGGCUAGCGUUGUCCGGAAUCAUUGGGCGUAAAGAGCGUGUAGGCGGUCCGGUAAGUCCGCUGUGAAAGUCGGGGGCUCAACCCUCGAAUGCCGGUGGAUACUGUCGGGCUAGAGUGCGGAAGAGGCGAGUGGAAUUCCUGGUGUAGCGGUGAAAUUCGUAGAUAUUCGGAAGAACACCAGUGGCGAAGGCGGCUCACUGGUCCGGUACUGACGCUGAGGUGCGAAAGCGUGGGGAGCAAACAGG
rnacentral:rRNA from 1 species